UAAAGCGUGCGCAGGCGGUUUGUAAGUCUGAUGUGAAAUCCCCGGGCUCAACCUGGGAAUUGCAUUGGAGACUGCAAGGCUAGAAUCUGGCAGAGGGGGGUAGAAUUCCACGUGUAGCAGUGAAAUGCGUAGAUAUGUGGAGGAACACCGAUGGCGAAGGCAGCCCCCUGGGUCAAGAUUGACGCUCAUGCACGAAAGCGUGGGGAGCAAACAGGAUUAGAUACCCGUGU
rnacentral:rRNA from 1 species